GACUGGGUUUGCUGUGCUUGUGAGUCCUCUGGAAGUAUUACAGGACCCUGUGAUGAAGCCUACUGAUUUUGCAUUUCAAGGUCCCAUCCUGGUAACCCAGAGCAGUGGCCAAGGAGUUGUGGUGAGUCAGGGAGGUAGGGAGGAGGAGUGAGAGUCCACUCAAGUUUCAGCAAUGCCAUGUCACCCUUUCUCCACUUAAUCUAGGUGUACCCUGAGAUGAUGCUGUCGGCCUCCAAGCACGCCUGCGGUGUGUGGCCCGACCAUUCUGAGGAGAAUGGUGAGUAGCAGAAUUGUCAGGUUUUGGCCAUUGUGCUGUUACGGUUGUGCACUGAUGUUUGGUUUUCUUUGUCUUGGCAGACCAAGAGAGAACAGUCUGGUGACAACUGGAGUUUCCCAGACAGGCAGGAGGCCUCGUUCUGCACCCGAUGGAGAUUUGGAUCCCCAGAUAUAUGCCAGAUAAGUCAAGGGCUACAACCCACAGAGGGCAUGGAAGCGAGGUGCCAGGUUGGGAGUCCCCAGGAGGGGUUUUUGAGUCAGUUUUGGAUACGGGGAUGUCUAAGAAGCGUCUCCUUAGGCCAGCUGAAGGGAAAGUGUCUGUUUUGAUCACAGUGCUGAGGUGCGCAGGGCAGAGCAGUUCCGGUGUGUGUUCUGUCACUUGUCUCUGGUGCACUCUGUGUUCUUUGGGUCUCUCAGUCCUUUCUUCUCAUCAAAAGCUCUCCCUCCCUGUUCUGUCUCCUGGUUUGUCAUGUCCUGUCCUGUGUCACGGGUGUCUGCACAUAUUUGUACCGGAGCUGCUCUGCCCUGCUGCAUAGCCUGUAAUAGCACAAGUCCUGGGGACUUGAAAUUGGUAAUGCAGGGUGUAGCUGGGCUCCAGGUUGUGUUAGGAGAUUGACAUAACAUGCUUGGUACUGUUAAGUUGUCCUGCAGCAUUUUGACAUUAGUUCUAACUUCCUUUCAGAUGCAGACAGUUCAAAUCAGUGCCAGAGGGCCACAGUCCUGGGUGGAGAACUUCCCAUGAGCUGGUCAGUCAUUGUUUGCAUUUACAGGGGAAGCAGCCUAAGUGGUGACUCUGUUACAGCGGUGUUCUUUGCCUUUAUUUUUAGGAGGUCCAGGCAGAUAGCAGCAGUCAAGGCCCAGUGUGCCAGGGAAUCCACUGGGAGUUUGCAUAUCCCCUGUCAGCAGCUGGCUGAUGGACUGGGUUUGCUGUGCUUGUGAGUCCUCUGGAAGUAUUACAGGACCCUGUGAUGAAGCCUACUGAUUUUGCAUUUCAAGGUCCCAUCCUGGUAACCCAGAGCAGUGGCCAAGGAGUUGUGGUGAGUCAGGGAGGUAGGGAGGAGGAGUGAGAGUCCACUCAAGUUUCAGCAAUGCCAUGUCACCCUUUCUCCACUUAAUCUAGGUGUACCCUGAGAUGAUGCUGUCGGCCUCCAAGCACGCCUGCGGUGUGUGGCCCGACCAUUCUGAGGAGAAUGGUGAGUAGCAGAAUUGUCAGGUUUUGGCCAUUGUGCUGUUACGGUUGUGCACUGAUGUUUGGUUUUCUUUGUCUUGGCAGACCAAGAGAGAACAGUCUGGUGACAACUGGAGUUUCCCAGACAGGCAGGAGGCCUCGUUCUGCACCCGAUGGAGAUUUGGAUCCCCAGAUAUAUGCCAGAUAAGUCAAGGGCUACAACCCACAGAGGGCAUGGAAGCGAGGUGCCAGGUUGGGAGUCCCCAGGAGGGGUUUUUGAGUCAGUUUUGGAUACGGGGAUGUCUAAGAAGCGUCUCCUUAGGCCAGCUGAAGGGAAAGUGUCUGUUUUGAUCUCAGUGCUGAGGUGCGCAGGGCAGAGCA